GUCCUUGUAGUUUAAUUAAAACUUUAGUCUUGUAAACUAACAUUGCUUGUCUAAGGACU
rnacentral:tRNA from 1 species